rnacentral:tRNA from 1 species
GGUGGGGGGCUCAGUGGUAGAGCACAUCCUUAGCAUAGGUGAGUCCCUGGGUUCACUUCCCAGCAUCUCCA